AUGAAAUGAAAUCAGUGUUUGGACAUGUGAUUUCACGCUGAUUCAUCUCAUGA
rnacentral:pre_miRNA from 1 species